CAAUUUAAAACUUUAAUAGAAAAGUAUUUCAGUUACAUUGAAAAAAUAUUUGUGCAAAUCAAAUUAAAUUGA